rnacentral:tRNA from 1 species
UCUUAGAUGACUGAGAUAUAAGUGUUAGAUUUUUAAUCUAAAAACGGCAAAUUGUGCCUCUAAGAG